GUUUGUUUAAGAGAAAAACUCAAACAAAAAUAAUUCAUCCCCCAAAGGAGCAGUUAGUGUUAGUUUAAAACAUACUUGUGAUGCAAUGCAUUAGCUUAGUAUGGUAUUUUUUGUAUGCUGAACAACAGAAUAAUAGAUAAGUAAUUCAUUUCAUGUUUCGUUAACAUGACAAAGUGCCCCUAGUAGGGCAAUUUCUGCUUCCCC
rnacentral:lncRNA from 1 species